GCGGGUCUCUGGGCAGUAACUGACGCUGAGGAGCGAAAGCAUGGGUAGCGAAAGGAAAGGUACCCUGGUAGUCCAUGCCGUAAACGGUGGGCGCUAGGUGUAGGGGUCUUCCACGACUUCUGUGCCGUAGCUAACGCAUUAAGCGCCCCGCCUGGGGAGUACGGCCGCAAGGCUAAAACUCAAAGGAAUUGACGGGGGCCCGCACAAGCGGCGGAGCAUGUGGAUUAAUUCGAUGCAACGCGAAGAACCUUACCUGGGCUUGACAUAUACGGGAUCGCCGCAGAGAUGUGGUUUCCCUUGUGGCUCGUAUACAGGUGGUGCAUGGUUGUCGUCAGCUCGUGUCGUGAGAUGUUGGGUUAAGUCCCGCAACGAGCGCAACCCUUGUCUUAUGUUGCCAGCACGUUAUGGUGGGUACUCGUGAGAAACUGCCGGGGUCAACUCGGAGGAAGGUGGGGAUGACGUCAAAUCAUCAUGCCCCUUAUGUCCAGGGCUUCACACAUGCUACAAUGGUCGGUACAGUGGGUUGCGAUACCGUGAGGUGGAGCUAAUCCCUUAAAGCCGGUCUCAGUUCGGAUCGGGGUCUGCAACUCGACCCCGUGAAGUCGGAGUCGCUAGUAAUCGCAGAUCAGCAACGCUGCGGUGAAUACGUUCCCGGGCCUUGUACACACCGCCCGUCACGUCAUGAAAGUCGGUAACACCCGAAGCCAGUGGCCCAACCCUUGUGGGGGGAGCUGUCGAAGGUGGGAUCGGUGAUUGGGACGAAGUCGUACAAGGGUAACAA
rnacentral:rRNA from 1 species